rnacentral:tRNA from 1 species
AUCUGUAUAGUAUACCUAUUACUACGGCCUUGUAAGCCGUCAACGGAGACAUACCCCUCCUACAGAUA